AAAGGAGUGAUCCGGCAGAGGAUGGACAUGCGGCGCAUUAGCUAGUCGGCGGGGUAACGGCCCACCGAGGCUACGAUGCGUAGGGGUUCUGAGAGGAAGGUCCCCCACACUGGUACUGAGACACGGACCAGACUCCUACGGGAGGCAGCAGUGAGGAAUAUUGGUCAAUGGGCGGAAGCCUGAACCAGCCAAGUCGCGUGAGGGAAGACGGUCCUAUGGAUUGUAAACCUCUUUUGCAGGGGAACAAGGCGCGGUACGUGUACCGCGAAGGAGAGUACCCUGAGAAAAAGCAUCGGCUAACUCCGUGCCAGCAGCCGCGGUAAUACGGAGGAUGCGAGCGUUAUCCGGAUUUAUUGGGUUUAAAGGGUGCGCAGGCGGACUGUUAAGUCAGCGGUAAAAUGUCGGGGCUCAACACCGGCCGGCCGUUGAAACUGGCAGCCUUGAGUGAGCGAGAAGUAUGCGGAAUGCGUGGUGUAGCGGUGAAAUGCAUAGAUAUCACGCAGAACUCCGAUUGCGAAGGCAGCAUACCGGCGCUCAACUGACGCUCAGGCACGAAAGCGUGGGUAUCGAACAGGCUUAGAUACCCUGGUAGUCCACGCAGUAAACGAUGAAUGCUCACUGUCCGGGCCGUUUAAGGCCUGG
rnacentral:rRNA from 1 species